rnacentral:rRNA from 1 species
UUAAACUAAAAUUUAUAGUAAAUAAUAUGACCCGAAGAAAGAAGAGCUAACUAGUUCUACGAUUUUAGUUAUUAACCUAAAAAGUAUAGCAUAACUUUUAAUUAAGGGCUAGUUAGGGGUGAUAGGCUAUUCAAUUCUUUUAUAUAUCUGGAUUUUAGCUAAAAAUAUUUAGUAUUUUAAUCAGAUACGAAGUACUAAGAUUUCGUAUAAAAAAAAUUAAAGGAAAAUAAUUUAACUAAUAGCCAUUUAUUAAUAUAAAUAGGCAUAAAUUAUAUAACAAUUAAUUUCUAAAUAAUUUUUAAAUCUUAGUUAAAUAAAUAGCUUAAAAUAUUUAAUAGUUUAGAGAAUGUUUAAAUGAGUAUAUAUAUUUAAUAGAUAGCAAGGAACUCGGCAAAUAUGUAUAUCUUCAACUGUUUAUCAAAAACU